UACGUAGGGGGCAAGCGUUGUUCGGAAUUAUUGGGCGUAAAGGGCGCGUAGGCGGUGCGGUAAGUCACCUGUGAAAACUCUGGGCUCAACUGAGGAACUGCCUUUGAAACUGUCGGGCUUGAGGCCGGGAGGGGGUAGCGGAAUUCCCAGUGUAGCGGUGAAAUGCGUAGAUACUGGGAGGAACACCAGUGGCGAAGGCGGCUACCUGGACCGGUUCUGACGCUGAGGCGCGAAAGCGUGGGUAGCAAACAGG
rnacentral:rRNA from 1 species